rnacentral:lncRNA from 11 species
GCUUUCCCUCCCUCCAUUUUCAACAAUGAGCAGGGAGAGGGAUGGUGGGCGAGGCCAAAUCUCUGCAAUGUGAAGGCAGCUGCAGUGAAAGAAUACAGAAAGGAAACAAGAGACAUUUAACAGUGUGAUAGAAGUGCACCGUGACCAAGAGACCAGAAGAAGAAGGGAGCAUGGACACACUUUGGAGCCAGCAGUCCCAGGAAGAGAAUGCAACAACAGACAUCAAGAUCGUGUACUUGGAAGACAGUGAAGAACCUGGGAUUACUAGCUCCAUAGUCUGUCCAUAGCUCCACCCAGGAUUCAUAGGACUUCUCUGGAAUGGGAUCCUCGCUCCUUGCCUGCCGGAUUGGCUGCGGUGCUGAUACCAUCCAGAAACGCUAUAUCAGCUGAGUGUCCUCUCCUUGGAGAGAAAAAGGCUUGUUUUAUAUUGUGUGUGAUUUGUAUGGCUUAUUUUAAAAUAAAAAUAUAUAAAGAAGUACUAUAAUACUCCUGCC